rnacentral:rRNA from 1 species
UACGGGGGGGGGCAAGCGUUGUUCGGAAUUACUGGGCGUAAAGGGCUCGUAGGCGGCCAACUAAGUCAGACGUGAAAUCCCUCGGCUUAACCGGGGAACUGCGUCUGAUACUGGAUGGCUGGAGGUUGGGAGAGGGAUGCGGAAUUCCAGGUGUAGCGGUGAAAUGCGUAGAUAUCUGGAGGAACACCGGUGGCGAAGGCGGCAUCCUGGACCAAUUCUGACGCUGAUGAGCGAAAGCCAGGGGAGCAAACGGGG